rnacentral:rRNA from 1 species
UACGUAGGGGGCAAGCGUUGUCCGGAAUUAUUGGGCGUAAAGAGCGCGUAGGCGGUCCGGUAAGUCGGCUGUGAAAGUCAAGGGCUCAACCCUUGAAAGCCGGCCGAUACUGUCGGACUAGAGUCCGGAAGAGGCGAGUGGAAUUCCCGGUGUAGCGGUGAAAUGUGCAGAUAUCGGGAGGAACACCAAUGGCGAAGGCAGCUCGCUGGGACGGUACUGACGCUGAGACGCGAAAGCGUGGGGAGCAAACAGG